rnacentral:rRNA from 1 species
UACGUAGGUGACAAGCGUUGUCCGGAUUUACUGGGCGUAAAGAGCGCGCAGGCGGUCGAUCAAGUCGAGUGUGAAAGCCCCCGGCUCAACUGGGGAGGGUCAUUCGAUACUGAUCGACUCGAAGGCAGGAGAGGGUAGUGGAAUUCCCGGUGUAGUGGUGAAAUGCGUAGAUAGUCGGGAGGAACACCAGUGGCGAAGGCGGCAUCCUGGACCGGCAUUGACGCUGAGGCGCGAAAGCCAGGGGAGCAAAGCGGG